rnacentral:rRNA from 1 species
GGGGAAUUUUACGCAAUGGGGGAAACCCUGACGUAGCGACACCGCGUGAGCGAAGAAGCCUUUUGGGGUGUAAAGCUCUGUCAGCUGGAACGAACACAAUGACGGUACCAGCAGAGGAAGCAUCGGCUAACUACGUGCCAGCAGCCGCGGUAAGACGUAGGAUGCAAGCGUUGUCCGGAUUCAUUGGGCGUAAAGAGUUCGUAGGUGGUCUGUUAAGUUUGGUGUUAAAGAGCGGGGCCCAACCCCGAUAGUGCACUGAAUACUGGCAGACUUGAGUGCGGUAGAGGUAAGUGGAAUUCCAAGUGUAGCGGUGAAAUGCAUAUAUAUUUGGAAGAACACCGGUGGCGUAAGCGACUUACUGGGCCGUAACUGACACUGAGGAACGAAAGCCGGGGUAGCGAAUG